rnacentral:rRNA from 1 species
CCUACGGGGGGCAGCAGUGGGGAAUAUUGGACAAUGGGGGGAACCCUGAUCCAGCCAUGCCGCGUGUGUGAAGAAGGCCCUCGGGUUGUAAAGCACUUUCAGUGAGGAAGAACGCCUGGUGGUUAAUACCCAUCAGGAAAGACAUCACUCACAGAAGAAGCACCGGCUAACUCCGUGCCAGCAGCCGCGGUAAUACGUAGGGUGCGAGCGUUAAUCGGAAUUACUGGGCGUAAAGCGCGCGUAGGUGGCUUGAUAAGCCGGUUGUGAAAGCCCCGGGCUCAACCUGGGAACGGCAUCCGGAACUGUCAAGCUAGAGUGCAGGAGAGGAAGGUAGAAUUCCCGGUGUAGCGGUGAAAUGCGUAGAGAUCGGGAGGAAUACCAGUGGCGAAGGCGGCCUUCUGGACUGACACUGACACUGAGGUGCGAAAGCGUGGGUAGCAAACAGGAUUAGAUACCCCAGUAGUC